rfam:Gossypium hirsutum cultivar TM-1 unplaced genomic scaffold scaffold476.1, whole genome shotgun sequence
UGUUAAAAAUUUCAUCUAUUUCUACUGUUAAAAAUUAGUCCCUGUAUGUUAGUAUGAGGAACAAAUUUUUUUUUUACGAUAGAAUUAGAUGAAAUUUUCAACA